rnacentral:rRNA from 1 species
AAUUGGUGGUUGAAGACCUCAACUUACGCGUUGUCAUGCACGACCACGUCGUUCAGCCAGAAUGCCUCAACCUCAAAGGUGUUCCUCAUACCUCAAUGAUGACCCCAAGUCAGGCGGGAUUACCCGCUUAGUUUAAGCAUAUCAAUAAGCAGAGGAAAAGAAACUUACAAGGAUUUCCCUAGUAACGGUGAGGGAACUGGGAAAAGCCCAACUUGAGAAUCAGACGGCCCCAACGUUUGAAUUGUAGUCUGGAGAAACUUACCCUGCCGCACCAUAAGGCAUUGUUGGCGAGUCAAGUUGUUUAGAAAUGCAGCCCUAGUCGGGCGGUAAAUUCCAUCCAAGGCUAAAUAUUGGCGAGAGACCGAUAGCGAACAAGAACCACAGGGGAAAGAUGAAAAGAACUUUGAAAAAAGAGUCAAAGAAUACUUGAAAUUAUAGAGAGGCAAGCGAUAGGGGUCGACGAUGCGUCCCGAUCGGAUGUGGAGUGGCGAAGAGUUGUUCUGGCGAUCUACUCGGGGCAUGGACCAGUAUGAAUUGAGGCAGUGGCCAAAGCUCGAGCAAUCGACAUGCCCGUGGAAUGUCAUCGCCCUGAUUGUAGCGGUAGCGCGUGCCCUCGACAUGUAUCGAUACCUCCGCGCUCUUGGUGCUUGCCUACAGGCUCCCCAUUCAAUUCAUCUUGAAAUUCGAACCAAGGAGUCUGACAUUUGUGCAAGUCAAUGGGCGAGUAAACCCGUAAGGCUCAAGGAUGCUGAUUGGCAUGAUCCCCUGAGGAGUGCAAUGCCGAUCGACCUAUAUCUUCUGAGAAGUUUGAGUGCAAGCAUACUUGUUGGGACCCGAAUGAUGGUGAACUAUGCCUGAGCAGGGCAAAGCCAGAGGAAACUCUGGUGGAGGCUCGUAGUGAAACUGACGUGCAAAUCGUUCGUCUGAUUUAGGUAUACUGAUGAAAGACUAAUCGAACCAUCCAGUAGUUGGUUCUCUCCAAAGUUUUCCUCAGGAUAGCUGGAGCUCGGGCGCGAGUUCUAUCGAGUAAAGCCAAUGAUUAGAGGCAUCGGGGGCGCAACAUGCUCGACCUAUUCUCAAACUUUAAAUAGGUAGACGGCGUGACUACUUCAUUGAGCCGCAUCACUAAAUUGAGAGCUCUAAAUGGGCCAUUUUUGGUAAGCAGAACUGGUGAUACGGGAUGAACUGAAAGUCAGGUUACGGUACCCAACUGCGUGCUAACCUAGAUCUUACAAAGGGUGUUGGUCGAUUAAGACAAUAGGACGGUGGUCAUGGAAGUCGAAAUCCACUAAGGAGUGUGUAAAACCUCAUCUAUCAAAUCAACUAACCCCAAAAAUGGAUGGUGCUGAAGCAUACGACCUAUAACUGACCGUCGAGGCAAGCGCCGGGCCCUAAUGAGUAGGACGGCAUGACAAUCGCUCCAAAACUUUGGACACAAGUGGACUUCAGUGCGGAUCUAGGUGGUAGUAGCAAAUAUUCAAAUGGGAACUUUAAAGGUCGAAGAGGGAAAAGGUUCCGUGUGAAUGGCACUUGCACAUGGGUUAGUCGAUCCUAAGGGUCGGGGAAAGCCCAACAGACAGUGCACUUCAUGCGUGCACUGAAAGGAAAUCGGAUUAAAAUUCCUGAAUCAGAAUGCAACAGUUGACGACAACAUUAGGGAGUCUGGAGACGUUGACGGGGGCCUUGGGAAGAGUUAUCUUUUUUGUUUAACAGCCUGUCCACCCUGGAAAUGGCUCAAUCGGAGGUAGGGUCCAGCGGUGAGAAGAGCACCACACGUCUCGUGGUGUUAGGUGCACUUCUGACGACCCUUCAAAAUCUGGAGGAUAGAGUACCGUCCGCAUCCAAUCAUACUCAUAACUACAUCAGGUCUCUAAGGUGAACAACCUCUGGUCUAUGGACCAAUGUAGGCAAGGGAAGUCGGCAAAAUGGAUCCAUAACUUCGAGAAAAGGAUUCGCUCUGAGGGCUGGGCAUGAGGGUCCCAGUCCCGAACCCGUCGGCUGUCGAUGGACUGUUCAAUUUGCUCCCACGGUGAGAGCGGGUCAUCUUAUGUCGAUCUGGGGAUGGACUGGGAACGGCUCCUUCGGGGGCCUUUCUUGAGCGUCGAAUAGUCAACUGACGACUAGUAUGGACAAGGAAAAUUUGACUUUUUAAUUGAAACAAAGCAUUGCGAUGGUCCCCGUGGAUGCUCACACAAUGUGAUUUCUGCCCAGUACUCUGAAUGUCAAAGUGAAGAAAUUCAACCAAGCGCGGGUAAACGACGAGAAUAACUAUGACUCUCUUAAGGUAGCCAAAUGCCUCGUCAUCUAAUUAGUGACGCGCAUGAAUGGAUUAACGAGAUUUCCAUCUACUAUCCAGCGAAACCACAGCCAUGGAAACGGGCUUGGCAGAAUCAACAGGGAAAGAAGACUCUGUUGAGCUUGACUCUAGUCCGGUUUUGUGAAAUGACUUGAGAGAUGUAGGAUAAGUGGGGGCCAAAAGGCAAAAGUGAAAUACCACUACUUUUAAUGUUAUUUUACUUAUUUUGUGAAUCAUAGGUAGGGCACUGCCCUUCUUUUUAGACCUAAGGCUCGCUUUGCGGGCCUAUCUGGGUAGAACACAUUGUUAGGUGGGAAGUUUGGCUAGGGUGGCACAUCUGUUAAAAGAUAACGCAGGUCCUAAGAUGAGCUCAACGAGAACGGAAAUCUCAUGUGGAAUAGAAGGGUAAAAGCUUGUUUGAUUCUGAUUUCCAGUACGAAUACCGACCGUGAAAGGUGGCCUAAUGAUCCUUUAGACCAUCAAAAUUUGAAGCUAUAGGUGUCAAAAAAGUUACCACAGGGAUAACUGGCUUGUGGAGGCCAAGCAUUCAUAGCGACGUUGUUUUUUAAUCCUUCGAUGUCAGCUCUUCCUAUCAUUGUGAAGUAGAAUUCACCAAGUGUUGGAUUGUUCACCCACCAAUAGGGAACAUGAGCUGGACUGAUUGCCUGAACAAGUUAGUUUUAUCCUACUGAUGAUAGUGUCGCAAUAGUAAUUCAACCUAGUACGAGAGGAACCAUUGAUUCGCACAGUUGGUCAUCGUGCUUGGUUGAAAAGCUAGUGGCGUGAAGCUACCGUGUGCUAGAUUAUGACUCCAUCAAGCGACGAGUAGAAUCCUUUGCAGAUUACUUAAAUACUUGAUGGGGUAUUGUAAGCGACAAAGUGGCCUUUCUGCCACGAUUCAUUGAGAUUUAGCCCCUUGUCGCUCCGAUUAGUCCCUCCCCUU